AUGGCUCGGCUCGGGGCGCCGACGAAGGGCGUGGCAAGCUGCGAUAAGCCCCGGCGAGGCGCAGGCAGCCGUCGAACCGGGGAUUCCCGAAUGGGACCUCCCGCGGCUUAUGCCGCACUCCGGGGUUUAUCCCCGGAGGGGGAACGCGGGGAAUUGAAACAUCUUAGUACCCGCAGGAAAAGAAAGCAAAAGCGAUGCCGUGAGUAGGGGCGACCGAAAACGGCAGAGGGCAAACUGAACCCCGGACCGACGAGGUUCGGGGGAUGUGGGGUUGUAGGGCCCCCGUAUGAGACCCUCGCGGGUGAAGCCGAAGUCCGCUGGAACGCGGCGCCGGAGAGGGUGAUAGCCCCGUAGGCGUAAGCCCGCAGGGUCUCGGGGGACCCUGAGUACCGUCGGUUGGAUAUCCGGCGGGAAGCUGGGAGGCAUCGGCUCCCAACCCUAAAUACGUCCCGAGACCGAUAGCGAACUAGUACCGUGAGGGAAAGCUGAAAAGCACCCCGGGAGGGGGGUGAAAAGAGCCUGAAACCGGGCGGCGAUAGGAGGGUGCGGCCCGAAAGGAAUGAGCCUCCCCGAAGGAAACCGCGGCGACGCGGGAGUACGAGGGGAGGGGACCGGGGUUGCACCGUCCGUCUUGAAACACGGGGCAGGGAGUUCGCGGCCGUGGCGAGGUUAAGGGGGUUAAGCCCCGUAGCCGCAGGGAAACCGACAUGCCCGCAGCCGGGCUUAUGCCCGGUGAGGGGCGGGGUGCGAAAGCGCCCGGAGUCACGGCCGCGAGACCCGAAACCGGUCGAUCUAGCCCGGGGCAGGGUGAAGUCCCUCAACAGAGGGAUGGAGGCCCGCUAGGGGUGCUGAUGUGCAGUUCGCUCCCGUGACCCCGGGCUAGGGGUGAAAGGCCAAUCGAGGCCGGAGAUAGCUGGUUCCCGCCGAAUCAUCCCGCAGGAUGGCCUCCCCGGAGGUAGGCGGUGGGGUAGAGCACUGAUUGGAGGUGCAGGGGGCGAAAGCCCCCGGCCUCCUGUCAAACUCCGAACCCACCGCCGCCGUAGAUGGGGGGAGUAGGGUGGCGGUGUAAGCCGUCCACCGAGAGGGGAACAACCCAGACCGGGGUUAAGGCCCCAAAGUGCCGGCUAAGUGUUACUCCAAAGGGUGUCCCGGGCCUUAGACAGCGGGGAGGUAGGCUUAGAAGCAGCCAUCCUUUAAAGAGUGCGUAACAGCUCACCCGUCGAGGUCCGGGGCCCCGAAAAUGGACGGGGCUCAAGCCGGCCGCCGAGACCCCGGCGCACGGACCGAUUGGUCCGUGAUCGGGUAGGCGGGCGUGCCGGUGGCGUAGAAGCCGGGCCGUAAGGUCCGGUGGAGCCGCCGGUAUCGCGGAUCCUGCCGGGAGUAGCAGCGUAGUCGGGUGAGAAUCCCGACCGCCGGAGGGGCCAGGGUUCCACGGCAAUGGUCGUCAGCCGUGGGUUAGUCGGUCCUAACCCCGCCCGUAACUCGGCGCGGGGGAAAGGGAAACGGGUUUAUAUUCCCGUACCGCGGGGGUAGGUGCGGCAACGCAAGCCCGGAGGGUGACGCCUCGGGGUAGGCGGACCGGCCGAUGAGGCCGGCUAAGCGUAUAAGCCCGGGGAGUGCCGUAAUGGCGAGAACCGGGUGAAAGCGCGAAUGGCCCCCCGUUAGGGGGGUUCCGCCGAUCCCUGGGGCCCGUGAAAAGCCCUCCGGGAAUUCCGAUCCCCCGCGACCGUACCGAGAACCGACACAGGUGCCCCUGGGUGAGAAGCCUAAGGCGUGUCGGGGGAAACCCGGCCGAGGGAACUCGGCAAACUGGCCCCGUAACUUCGGGAGAAGGGGUGCCUGCGGGUGCGUAACCCGCAGGUCGCAGUGACUAGGGGGGCCCGACUGUUUAAUAAAAACACAGGUCCCAGCUAGCCCGAAAGGGUUUGUACUGGGGCCGACGCCUGCCCAGUGCCGGUAUGUGAAGCCCGGGUACAACCGGGUGAAGCACCGGUAAACGGCGGGGGUAACUAUAACCCUCUUAAGGUAGCGAAAUUCCUUGUCGGUUAAAUGCCGACCUGCAUGAAUGGCGUAACGAGGUCCCCGCUGUCCCCGGCCGGGGCCCGGCGAAACCUCUGCCUGGCGCGCAUGCCAGGGACCCCCGGUGGGAAGCGAAGACCCCAUGGAGCUUUACUGCAGCCUGCCGUUGCCACGCGGCGAGGGGUGCGCAGCGUAGGCGGGAGGCGUCGAAGCCCGGCCUCCGGGUCGGGUGGAGCCGUCCAUGAGACACCGCCCACUCCUCGCCGCGUGGCUAACCCCCGAAAGGGGGGACAGCGGUAGGUGGGCAGUUUGGCUGGGGCGGCACGCCCCCGAAAAGGUAUCGGGGGCGCCCUAAGGUCGGCUCAGGCGGGUCAGGAAUCCGCCGUAGAGUGCAAGGGCAAAAGCCGGCCUGACUGGACCCGUAACAGAGGCGGGUCCAGCCCCGAAAGGGUGGCCUAGCGAACCCCUGUGCCUCCCCGGUGGGGGCCAGGGAUGACAGAAAAGCUACCCUGGGGAUAACAGAGUCGUCUCGGGCGAGAGCCCAUAUCGACCCCGAGGCUUGCUACCUCGCUGUCGGCUCUCCCCAUCCUGGCCCUGCAGCAGGGGCCAAGGGUGGGGGUGUUCACCCAUUAAAGGGGAACGUGAGCUGGGUUUAGACCGUCGUGAGACAGGUCGGAUGCUAUCUACCGGGGGUGUUGGCCGCCUGAGGGGAAGGUGCCCUUAGUACGAGAGGAACAGGGCGCCGCGGCCUCUGGUCUACCGGUUGUCCUCCCGGGCAUAGCCGGGCAGCUACGCCGCAGCCGAUAAGGCCUGAAGGCAUCUAAGGCCGAAGCGGCCCCCGAAAAUAGGCGGCCGUUCCCUGGCAUUUGGGCCUGGGUGACCGGCCCGUAGCCAGGGACGAGGGCUCGGGUAGAAGACCCGGUUGAUGGGGCGGGGAUGUAAGCGGGAAGGGUCAACCGACCCGCUUAGUCUGCCGCUCCCAAUCGCCCGAGGUCCUGUCCCCCGAAGGAGGGGCCAGGCACUUGACAGGCCACCCGCCUAUGCACGGCCCUCGAAACCAUUAAAUAUUCUGUUCUUGAGAUUUUACCUGGUGGUAACAUGGGAAUUCUUGAGAAGCUUCAUCGUUUUCCUCCAAGGUACGGUCCAGAAUGGGGAAGUGGGGGAAUUUUUGGUUUAAGGUACCACAACGAAACCCUAUACUUUACCUUGGCAUUUGAAGGUGAAGCCCAUUUCAUUACCAACGAUUCUCAUGAUGUUUAUGAGUUCCAACUCGUGGGACCGAGACCGACGUCUGGAGGGGACACCUACAAUGCCGUAGAGGUUGUCGACGAGUUCAUUUACUUUGGAGGUUGGGUUCAUGCUCCAGCAAAAUUCAGGGGAAAGGAAAGUGGCCAAGCUACAAUUGAUUUCUCAAACAAGUACUCUCACGUUCACGAAUAUGACACCUUAACCGGAAGGGUAAGGUUGGUUUGGAAAGAAUCAAUUCAUCAUCCUGAAAAGUGGUGUGGUGAGGUGAGCGAGAUCCUUUAUAAUCCCUAUACGGAUGAGCUACUUCUCGCUAGAGAAGAUGGCCAUGAGAAUCUUGGAGUUUACUCCCUGGAUAGGAGGAGGGGAGGUAUUAGAAGAUUAAGUGAUAAACCUAGCCCUAAGGGUACUCAAGUUCAUGACGUUGCCUUCUUUGGGGUUGGAAAGAAUUAUACCCAAGGGCUAAGAGAGAUCCAUGCUCUAGAUAUGGUGAGCGAGAAGUGGGAUGCGUUUGGGCUUGGUGAAAGCCUUGAUGGGGAAAGAUAUUUGGCUCCUCAUUUGGGUGCAAUGGCCUCUAUAAAUAACAGGGCUUUU
rnacentral:rRNA from 1 species